GAUGAAGAACGUAGCGAAAUGCGAUAAGUAAUGUGAAUUGCAGAAUUCAGUGAAUCAUCGAAUCUUUGAACGCACAUUGCGCCCCCUGGUAUUCCGGGGGGCAUGCCUGUCCGAGCGUCAUUACAACCCUCAAGCUCAGCUUGGUGUUGGGCCCCGCCGCCCCGGCGGGCCUAAAGUCAGUGGCGGUGCCGUCCGGCUCCGAGCGUAGUAAUUCUUCUCGCUCUGGAGGUCCGGUCGUGUGCUCGCCAGCAACCCCCAAUUUUUUUCAGGUUGACCUCGGAUCAGGUAGGGAUACCCGCUGAACUUAAGCAUAUCAAUAAGCGGAGGA
rnacentral:misc_RNA from 1 species